GGGGCGGUUUCUGUUUUGUUUUAAAUCAUGGUUCACUUCGUAGGACUGACGUCUGCACUGGGCUGGGUCUUUUGGUUCUGCAGAUUGAAAAGUUACAAACCCAGCUGGAGAGAGAAAAGCAGAGCAGCCAAGACCUGGAGACCCUCAGUGAGGAGCUGAUCAGAGAGAAGGAGCAGCUGCAGAGUGACAUGGAGACCCUGAAGGCUGACAAAGCCAGGCAGAUCAAGGACCUUGAGCAGGAAAAGGACCACCUCAACCGAGCCAUGUGGUCGCUGCGGGAGAGGUCGCAGGUCAGCAGCGAGGCCCGCAUGAAAGACGUGGAGAAGGAGAACAAAGCCCUCCACCAGACGGUGACGGAGGCCAAUGGCAAGCUCAGCCAGUUGGAGUUUGAGAAGCGGCAGCUGCACAGGGACUUGGAGCAGGCCAAGG
rnacentral:sRNA from 1 species